GCGGGGUAGAGCAGUUUGGUAGCUCGCAAGGCUCAUAACCUUGAGGUCACGGGUUCAAAUCCUGCUGCAGCCGCA
rnacentral:tRNA from 1 species